CAGGGGAAUUAAGAAACUGUAGGAUGGAUGGUGGUUUCUGUCAGACUGGUCUUGACAAAGAGUGCGAGUAUGGAAGUCUCCCAUACAACUGUGGCAUUAAUGCUCUCUGCUGCAAGCGUGGACCGCACCACCAAUGACAAGCACCUGUGAAACCCUGGGAGGUUAUUGCCAUGUUCCCUAACAAGAACCUUGCCUCUCAAGUGUGGAAUAUUCAGCAAUUGGGAUAUUAAUGGAAGAUGUUGCAAACUGUUACAUAACAGCAAGCAGUGAAACAACAUUGUAAUUAAACAAAUUAAUAAAUUUGGGCCACA